ACUACGGGAGGCAGCAGUGGGGGAUAUUGCACAAUGGGGGGAACCCUGAUGCAGCGACGCCGCGUGGGUGAAGAAGCGCCUCGGCGCGUAAAGCCCUGUCAGCAGGGAAGAAAAUGACGGUACCUGAAGAAGAAGCCCCGGCUAACUACGUGCCAGCAGCCGCGGUAAUACGUAGGGGGCAAGCGUUAUCCGGAUUUACUGGGGGUAAAGGGGGCGCAGCCGGCGAUGCAAGCCAGGAGGGAAAGCCCGGGGCCCAACCCCGGGACUGCUCUUGGAACUGCGUGGCUGGAGUGCAGGAGGGGCAGGCGGAAUUCCUGGUGUAGCGGUGAAAUGCGUAGAUAUCAGGAGGAACACCGGUGGCGAAGGCGGCCUGCUGGACUGCAACUGACGUUGAGGCCCGAAAGCGUGGGGAGCAAACAGGAUUAGAUACCCUUGUAGUC
rnacentral:rRNA from 1 species